rnacentral:lncRNA from 1 species
UGUGCCCCUCCUCCCUCACUGUCCUCCAGCUCCCACUGCGCCUCUCUCCUUCCUUCGCCCCACGCGCUGCCCCACCUUCUCUCUCUCUCUCUCUCUCUCUCUCUCUCUCUCUCUCUCUCUCUCUCACCUGGAGACAGUAACCAUAUGCGGCCCCGAUGAACGGAGAAAAUGAAAAUUACCUUCCUAGAGGAAGGAAAGUGCAUUUGACAUCCCCCUUGUUCCAGGACGCGAGAGAUUCUGAUACAAUUACCUCCAAGAGGCUGCGGGCAGAUGGCGCGCUCGGCAGCCCCGUGUCCUCGGCCAGCGGGACACUGCCGAGAUGCUCUCCGUGACAUUUUGCUCAAGAUGUUUCCAGCACGCGAAGCCCGGAGCUGGCAACCGGCAAAGGAGCCUGCGGAGCGUUCGUGAGCCUGAAACGAUGGCCAGCUCACACCCGUGCUCCUGGGGGCCGUGCCCCCAUCCCGGGGCCCGGCCCGGCCCGCAGGCAGAGAUCGGGGACGUGAUCGAUGGCCCCGCACCGUAUGGACAAGCUCAAGAGGGAGCGUACGGCGGGAGGGGACGCCGAGGAGAAGUGGGUGAAGAGUGUGCCGGGCCUGACUCUGGCCCUGGCGGAGCCACUUUUUCGUCUGCGGGAGCCAUGGCAGGAAGUCAGUGCGAGCUGCUGACUGCCAGACAGAGAGGAUCCCGCUUCCUUCUCUCAAACACACGGCCUCUGAGAACAGCCUGGGAGGGAAACCAAGAGCACGGACAACUGCACAGAAGGAUUCGCGCCAGGCCCGGAAGCGUCCUUUGAAUGUGAGGACACUGGGAAUUUGCUGACCUUGGUGAGGGUAAAUGAGGUCGAGCAUGAGAAGCCAGAUUGAAGUGUGCUUAGUCUCCGUGAUUAGUGCUCUAAAAAGACAACUAAGACUUCAUUAAUGUGUCCCUACUAAUGAGGAAUUUCCGAUAAUUGAAGCAAAACUGAACUUACUUUUGUCAGCACGUCUCACAGAUGCAAUUAGGGUGUAAAUUAUGCAGAAUGGGGGUGCUGGCAUAUCUAAGAGGCUGUGCCAUUUUUAGCCAACCUCAGGAUUCCCCCCCAACAGGAGAUCCUCUGAGCCCAGGUCCAAGUCUUGGUGUACGAUGUUUGCACGUGGGGAGAGUUAAGUGAGGUCGAGCCUGGGCUCAAGAAUGGCCUUAAAGGGGCAGCAAGCCCCGGAAGGGAGAGCUCAGCCACAGAGGAAGGGAGGAAGGAGGAUGGGCAGAGGCGUGGCCCGCUGGGCUGACAACUGCCAUGGCAAGCAUCAGUGGGCCAUCUUCACUCAUGUGUCCACCGAUUUGAGUGACCACAGCCCAGGGACCUCAUUCUCUCCCACAAGCUGCCUCCAAGGGUCUCUACCCAGCACUUGGAGUUGCUGAGGGAAGUAAAGAGUCAGAGGCCAAGGCUGGCAACUGACUGGGGCAAAGGGCAGAUUAGAUCUGACUUCCGCCAUCUCAGAAGCUUAUCUAUAUACCAGAAAUUAAUAAAUCUACUUAAAAUCUUGGGGCA